CCUACGGGUGGCAGCAGUGGGGGAUAUUGGACAAUGGGGGAAACCCUGAUCCAGCGAUGCCGCGUGAGGGAAGAAGGUUUUCGGAUUGUAAACCUCUGUGGAGGGGGACGAUAAUGACGGUACCCCUUUAGGAAGCCACGGCUAACUACGUGCCAGCAGCCGCGGUAAUACGUAGGUGGCGAGCGUUGUCCGGAAUUACUGGGUGUAAAGGGAGUGUAGGCGGGAAGCCAAGUCAGCUGUGAAAACUACGGGCUUAACUUGUAGACUGCAGUUGAAACUGGUUUUCUUGAGUGAAGUAGAGGUUGGCGGAAUUCCGAGUGUAGCGGUGAAAUGCGUAGAUAUUCGGAGGAACACCGGUGGCGAAGGCGGCCAACUGGGCUUUAACUGACGCUGAGGCUCGAAAGUGUGGGGAGCAAACAGGAUUAGAUACCCUGGUAGUC
rnacentral:rRNA from 1 species